rnacentral:misc_RNA from 1 species
AAGUCGUAACAAGGUUUCCGUAGGUGAACCUGCGGAAGGAUCAUUACAGUGUUCCCUGCCCUUCGGGGUAGGAUCGCCACCCUUGAAUACCUAUAAGUGUUGCUUUGGCGGGCCCUGUAGCCUAGCUACGCCCCGGCUCCGGCGGGGGAGUGCCCGCCAGAGGCUUCUCUAAACCUGAUUAUUAGUGUCGUCUGAGUACUAUAUAAUAGUUAAAACUUUCAACAACGGAUCUCUUGGUUCUG